UACGAAGGGGGCUAGCGUUGCUCGGAAUCACUGGGCGUAAAGCGCACGUAGGCGGACUCUUAAGUCAGGGGUGAAAUCCUGGAGCUCAACUCCAGAACUGCCUUUGAUACUGGCAACCUAGAGGCUGGAAGAGGUUAGUGGAAUUCCCAGUGUAGAGGUGAAAUUCGUAGAUAUUGGGAAGAACACCAGUGGCGAAGGCGGCUAACUGGUCCAGAUCUGACGCUGAGGUGCGAAAGCGUGGGGAGCAAACAGG
rnacentral:rRNA from 1 species